rnacentral:rRNA from 1 species
GAUGAACGCUAGCGGGAGGCCUAACACAUGCAAGCCGAGCGGUAGAGUCUCUUCGGAGACUUGAGAGCGGCGCACGGGUGCGGAACACGUGUGCAACCUGCCUUUAUCUGGGGGAUAGCCUUUCGAAGGGAAGAUUAAUACCCCAUAAUAUACUGGAUGGCAUCAUCUGGUAUUGAAAACUCCGGUGGAUAGAGAUGGGCACGCGCAAGAUUAGAUAGUUGGUGAGGUAACGGCUCACCAAGUCAGCGAUCUUUAGGGGGCCUGAGAGGGUGAUCCCCCACACUGGUACUGAGACACUGACCAGACUCCUACGGGAGGCAGCAGUGAGGAAUAUUGGACAAUGGGUGAGAGCCUGAUCCAGCCAUCCCGCGUGAAGGACGACGGCCCUAUGGGUUGUAAACUUCUUUUGUAUAGGGAUAAACCUAGAUACGUGUAUCUAGCUGAAGGUACUAUACGAAUAAGCACCGGCUAACUCCGUG